rnacentral:rRNA from 2 species
CUCAGGACGAACGCUGGCGGCGUGCCUAAUACAUGCAAGUCGAGCGAAUCGACGGGAGCUUGCUCCCUGAGAUUAGCGGCGGACGGGUGAGUAACACGUGGGCAACCUGCCUAUAAGACUGGGAUAACUUCGGGAAACCGGAGCUAAUACCGGAUACGUUCUUUUCUCGCAUGAGAGAAGAUGGAAAGACGGUUUACGCUGUCACUUAUAGAUGGGCCCGCGGCGCAUUAGCUAGUUGGUGAGGUAAUGGCUCACCAAGGCGACGAUGCGUAGCCGACCUGAGAGGGUGAUCGGCCACACUGGGACUGAGACACGGCCCAGACUCCUACGGGAGGCAGCAGUAGGGAAUCUUCCGCAAUGGACGAAAGUCUGACGGAGCAACGCCGCGUGAACGAAGAAGGCCUUCGGGUCGUAAAGUUCUGUUGUUAGGGAAGAACAAGUACCAGAGUAACUGCUGGUACCUUGACGGUACCUAACCAGAAAGCCACGGCUAACUACGUGCC